rnacentral:rRNA from 1 species
GACGAACCGUCCGAACGUUAUUCGGAAUCACUGGGCUUAAAGGGCGCGUAGGCGGGCCGCCAAGUCCGGGGUGAAAUACUCCAGCUUAACUGGAGAACUGCCCCGGAUACUGGAGGUCUCGAGGGAGAUAGGGGCACACGGAACUUAUGGUGGAGCGGUGAAAUGCGUUGAUAUCAUAAGGAACUCCGGUGGCGAAGGCGGUGUGCUGGAUCUCUUCUGACGCUGAGGCGCGAAAGCCAGGGGAGCAAACGGG